CUGAGGCCACCCCGCUCUCGGUCGUGAAAGCCCCACAAACAGCGCCGGCCUCCUCGCAAUACACCAGAACCCCCCUCCUCCAUUCCCCCUCCCAGCACCAUGCGCUACAAUGUAGGGACCUGGGAGAGGGGGUUGCGGGGGGGAGGUUUUCAUAAUGCAGGAGGAGGGGGGGGAACCCUAAUUAAAAAAGCAGGAGGAGGAGGCAGACAAAAUCUCAGGCAGUCCGUAGGGAGGCGAGACACAGAAGCGUUUAACGUUAUUUUUUGCAUCUGCUUGAGCAAGUUUUUCCUGUAAAAAGAUCCCGGGAUCCUGCUGCCUUGGACUCUUUUUGAAAAAUGAUGAUCCGUCUUUUUUUUUAUGUUCCAGCCACCUCUUUUGGGCUCUCACGAUCGUACAAGGGAUUUACUUUUGGCGAAAGAAGCUUCUCCCCCCCCCCCAACAGAUCUGUGUUUUAAUUAUGGUUUUGGCAUUGCUUUUUUCUUGUGAGGAAUAUCCUUGUUCUUGAAGAGAAAUAGACUCGCAGGGUUAUGUUUUCGUUUGGUCCUUUUGUUUUCUUUUCUUUUUUUCCCCCUUCCCUUUCCAGGACUCUUCGCAGUUGUUGUCAUUGUUGCUGAUUCGUGCAAAAUAGAUUGUAAACAGUGUGUCAAUACAUAGCUGCCUCUGGGUGGAGGGAAAUGUCAAGCUACGGUAGUGUGGAAUUUUUUUUAUUACUUUUAGUUUUUUAAAGCAGCUGUAGACUGUUUCAGGAGGGAACUGUAAAGGCCUGCCCUGCCUUUGCCAUUGGAGGAGACUUCAGCCACCAGUAAAAAUAUUUAAGGCCAUAGAAGUUGGGUAUAUUGAUCAAGGAUGGUAGAUGGCCCUGAAUAUGGAAUUAGUCUUACUGGGAUACAGAAUACGUUUUUAUAUGCAAGUAUUUCAUGUUCUCAGGUAAGCAACACACAUAAGGGGUGGGCCUGAUCUUUUGAUAAAUAUAUAUAUAUUUUUAAAUAAAUCUCAAUUUAAAAUUAUUUUAAUUUUUUUUUAAAUUAGCCCCUUCAGGAAAUAAAUCCUACUUACCCAAAUACUGUAUAGACAGAACCACCAGGUCUUUAAAAAAAAGUGCCGGAGACAGAAACGUGACCCUUAAGAAAGGGCACUCCGUCUUUGACACUUUUCCUAUGGCAGUUACAGUCGGAUUGUCAGCUGAGCUGUGGAAAUCCAGCCUUUUUUUAUCAGCUUUGUGUCAUAACAUAAACAUUAUUUAAAGGCAGUUUAGUGCAUGUAAUUUUAUAAAAUAAGGGUGGAUUGCACACUGUAUAGAGCAGUGUAUUCCCUGAUUCAAUUGCAUUAUCUUGUUUUCUAAUCUAACCUACUUUUCUGUCCGAGGUUGGUGCUUUGCAGGAGCCUGUCUUCAGUGCAAUCUGUGAGCCCUUUUGUGGGUGUCUGAUUUCUGUAACAUGCUUUGGUUUCCAGUAUGAAUAUAACAUUCAAAGAAUAUCAUGACACUACUCUAGGUGUAUGCGAUCUUAUCUACCUGACAUUUAGUUUUUUAACCGUCCAUUCCCUUGAUUUGCAUAAAAUCACACAGUCAUAAUUUUUUGGCAUCAUCAUAACAAACUACUCGAGAUUACCAGCUUGCUUUUGCUCGCUGCCUGUCAGCACAAAUGCAUGUUUUCCCCUUUUCUUUGCAUCUGGACUAGGAGCUUUCUGGAUUUAUUAACAUAGUACUUUCAAAAGGAUGGACACUUCUGCCACUAUAUCUGUGACAACAGCAAAGCUCUUUAAUAAGUGUCAUGGUUUAAGUUCAAAACCAAACAGCCCAAUACGCCAGGUUCUUGCAUCUCAUUCUGUUUUAGUUUAUUGUUUUAAAUAUAGAGCUCUUUGUUUUUAUUUACAGGGAAAACCCACAGAACACUCUGCCUGAUCCCAGAAGACUUGCCCUGCAACUGCUGUGUUCAUUACAAAACAAUCCUGCAAUUAAAAUAAACUCCAAGAGCUAAACAAACUGCCCCUCUUGCUGAUCAUUUGUUAAUUUCAGUUCCUUAUGCUUAGAACAAUUUUUUCCCCCAGCACUGGUAUCAGAGGUGGCAGCAGCUGGAGUUGGGAAGGACAAGGGGGAAACACCCUAAUGUUUGUAAACUACAGGAGGGGGGGAGUAGGAGGGAGAUAUUAUUAUGUUAAAUAGUGUUUUUAUUGCAGUAUUCAUGAUCUGGCAGGAUCCUUCCUUCUGGGGAAAGGACUGGAAGUGGAAAAACUUGAUUUGCAUGAUAGGGCCUGGCUUUUUGUACACACCCUCUGUACACCGGACCAUACUAAACCAGCUCUGAAGGCUGCUGCAGAUCACUCACGGUCCAAGAAUGUGCAUGGGGACUACACUGGUACUUUUCCAUUCACAUGCCCACAGUGGAGUGUCUUGUUUAUUUCAUCCUUCAUGCAACAAAGGGACACAUGCUGCAGAAGGGGAGGGAGAGAGAAUUUCAGCCUAUCUGCCUAAAAACCUCCCUGUACUUUCAACUGGAGAAGUUAUUAUUUGCUCAUCCACCUAAAAAGAAACCACUCGCCAGUUGUGUUACUGGUUUCACACAUGUUAUCACACUAUCUCUCUCUAAAUACAACCUCAAUUUUCAGAUAUCCUGGAGACUAAAUCUAGAAUACCAAGGGGUUGGAUAAUCAAGGCAAUUGUCAAUGUAAUUCCAAGACAGUGAGGGCACAUGGUCCAGUGUCACACAACAGGACAGUUCAGAUAAUGAGGCUUGGAGAACUGGAUAAUCAUAUUUUAUCAGUAAAAUUGGCAUUCAUGUAUUAUUGAGAAAUUGUCCUGAUAAUUGACAGAUCUACUUUCCCAUCAUUAUUGUGAGAUUCAUAGUGAAACUUGUCUGUUAAAAAUUACUUUCCCUAGGUAAGUGUAAGAGUAGAAUGUUUGCAGUUUUUCUAUCUAUCUAUCUAUCUAUCUAUCUAUCUAUCUAUCUAUCUAUCUAUCUAUCUAUCCCUGCAAAUACUACAGCCAGGAAUAGUAAUUACACAGUAUGUAUGUAAGGGUAUCUGUUGUUCCCAUCACUGUGUAAGUAGGCAUCACAAUUCUAUGCCACACGUACGUGAUCUUUGGUUUAAAAGGUAAAUUUCAAACCCAAGUGGUAGUGAGCAUCCAGCCAAUCACAGAAAAUUAUCCUUCCUCCUCUCUGCCCCCAAUCAAUUUUUAACCAAUUACAGACCAAAGUCUGCGGGGCUUGGUUUGGUUUUUUCCUUUUCUGCUGAGUUUGUUGGUGAUUAAGUAGAGCAAAAUUAAGUGAUUCACAUGUAGUGAGGGAAAUUUAUGAAGACCUUGUACCACUGACCUAUAACAUUUUCAAAUACAAACAUGCAUUCCAUACUCCCUUCCCCAUGCCUUACCCCUACUUUUUCUUUUUUGCCUGCUGGUUCUUCUUAGAAUUUGUCUCAUUUGAAAAUAGUAAGCAUGAGACCUCUGGAAAUUUAAAACUCACCAUGUAUUUUAAGCUGUGCUAGAAAUGGCUUUUUUUUUUGGCACCUCUCUUAACAAUCAACUAAUGAGAUUAAAAACAAAAGAAACAAACAAAAUCCCUGAGAUGAUUCAAGCCUUGGUUACAUAAGUGUUUGGUUUGCCUGAAAAAAAUUGAUCAAGGACAGUCUUUGAAUCAGAUUCUUAUUUAUUAUUACUAUCUGUUUCUAUUACAAUAGUGCCUAGAAGGCCCAGCCAAAUCCAGGGUAAUAAAAGUCAGCUGUGGAAAACAUUUUGAUUUCAUAAGAAGAACUUUGUGAGCUAGGAAGUUUAUCCAACAAUACUUCCUAUAGUGACAAAGGGCCUGAUCCAAAAAUGGAAAGACUCCCACUGAGUUAAAUGGAUUUGCAUAUGACCCUUAAUUCUUAUUCUAAACUAUUUUGAUAGUUAUUGUUUUAUUAAUUAUUUUGUUAGACAUCUAUGUGGUUAAUGUUACCUGCAUUUAAUUUUCUUUCUUCAAAUAAAAUUUUAAUGCUUUGUCUAUACAGUUCUUUGAGUGAUCAGUUUACAAUUUUGGUUCAUGGAAUGUUUGUGACUAUACUUAAAAAAUAAUUCAGUUAAUUAAUUGGAAGAUAUCAAUAAAUAAAGGGGGAAAUGUCAAUAA